rnacentral:rRNA from 1 species
GACAAACGCUGGCGGCGUGCUUAACACAUGCAAGUCGAACGGAAAGGCCCUGCUUGCAGGGUACUCGAGUGGCGAACGGGUGAGUAACACUUGGGUGAUCUGCCCUGCACUUCGGGAUAAGCCUGGGAAACUGGGUCUAAUACCGGAUAGGAGCCAUUUUUAGUGUGAUGGUUGGAAAGUUUUUUCGGUGUAGGAUGAGCUCGCGGCCUAUCAGCUUGUUGGUGGGGUAAUGGCCUACCAAGGCGGCGACGGGUAGCCGGCCUGAGAGGGUGGACGGCCACAUUGGGACUGAGAUACGGCCCAGACUCCUACGGGAGGCAGCAGUGGGGAAUAUUGCACAAUGGGCGAAAGCCUGAUGCAGCGACGCCGCGUGGGGGAUGACGGCCUUCGGGUUGUAAACUCCUUUCGCUAGGGACGAAGCUUUUGUGACGGUACCUAGAUAAGAAGCACCGGCUAACUACGUG